UUUAAAUGUAAAAUAUACUGCUAAAGUAGUAAUAGUUAUGUUCUUGAAAUUUAAAGAUUUUGGCGGUAUUUUAGUCUAUUUAGAGGAACCUGUUCUAUAAUUGAUAAUCCACGAUUGACUUUACUUAUUUUAAAAAUUUGUAUACCGUCGUUAUUAGAAAAUUUUAAUAGAAUAAUAAUUUUUAAUAUUUUAAAUAAAAAUAUAUAUCAGAUCAAGGUGCAGUUAAUAUUUAAGAAGAAAUGGGUUACAAUAAAUUUAUUUAUAUGGAUUAAAGUAAUAAAUUCUUUAUGAAAGUGGAUUUAAUAGUAAUAAAAUUGAUUUAAAUUUUAUGAUUUUAGCUCUAAAAUAUGU
rnacentral:rRNA from 1 species